UUUGAAUUGUAUUGUGGAAAUGUAUUACCAACAGAGGUGCAGGUGCCAGCCUAUUGAAAUAAAGCGUCAAUGAGGGUGAGAAUCCUGUUUGUCAUGUGCAGCCCUUUGUGCACGGUGUAUAUUUGCUGAGUCACACUCCUUGGCAUUGGAAUGCAAAGUGGGUGGUAAGUUUCAUGUAAAGGUAAACAUGCAAUUGAGACUGAUAGCACACAAGUACCAUGAGGGAAAUAUGAAAAGGACUUUGAAAAGAGAAUUAAAUGAGUUUGUAUUUGCUGAACACAAAGUAAACAGACUUGAUUUGCUUGGUGGGAGUGUUGCACUUGCUUGACAAGAGCUUUGGGCUGUGGGUGUAAUGAUUCUUUCUUUGCAUGCCAGUUUCUAUUUGUACAUCUGAUUACCUUUGCACAUGAAUGAUAAGUCUCCUGUGGGGGGUGGAUUGCAUGUGCAUGUAAUGAUUUGUGUUUUGAUAAAUGUGUCUGGUGUAUGUGUGUGUUCCUGUGCUUGGGGAUGCUUCCUUCCUUGGACUUACAAGCCCUGACACACACAUGCUGGCAAAAUGCUUCUGCUUGACCCGUCUUGAAACACGGACCAAGGAGUCUAACAGAUGUGCAAAGUUUGAAGGUGGUAUACCUUUGUGUGCAAUGAAAGUGUCAGCUGGGAUAUGUGCACCAGCACCCAAUUAAUUAGCGGACAGAGGUUUGAGUUGGAGCAUAUCUAUUAGGACCCGAAAGAUGGUGAACUAUGCCUGAACAGAAUGAAUUCAGAGGAAACUCUGAUGGAGGUUCGUAUCGAUACUGACGUGCAAAUCGUUCGUCAUAUUUGGGUAUAGGGGCGAAAGACUAAUCGAACCAUCUAGUAGCUGGUUCCCUCCGAAGUUUCCCUCA
rnacentral:rRNA from 1 species